rnacentral:rRNA from 1 species
AGUGAACGCUGGCGGCAGGCCUAACACAUGCAAGUCGAACGACACCACCGGGAGAGGUGGCGCUUGCGGGUGGCGAGUGGCGGAAGGGGGACGAAUGCAUCGGAUACCACUUCGUCGGGGGUGAUAACGUAGGGAAACUUAUGCUAACACAGCAUACGUCGCACGGGUGAGAGCACGCGUUCUUUGGGCCUUUCGCGAGUGAAAGAGCCGACCUCGGAUUAGCUAGUUGGCGGGGUAAAGGCCCUACAAGGCUACGAUCCGUAGCUGAUGUGAGAGGAUGAUUCGCCACACUGGAAGUGAGACACGGUCCAGACUCCUACGGGGGGCAGCAGUCGGGACUCUUGCGCAAUGGGCGAAAGCCUGAUCCAGCAAUACCGCGUGAGUGAUGAAGGCCUUCGGGUUGUAAAGUGCUUUUGUUGUGAAAGAAGAAAAGCUCUUUUACCCCGGGUUGUACUGACGGUACCCAAAGAAUAAGCACCGGCUAACUUCGUG